rnacentral:lncRNA from 1 species
CCCCUGGUUAUUCUAGAACCAGUGUAGGGACCAGCCCCACAGGGUCGGUGGGUCUCUCCCCAUGUGCGGAGACGAGAGAGUGUAGAAAUGAAGACACAAGAUAAAGAGAUAAAAGAACAGACAGCUGGGCCCCGGGGGGAUCACUACCACCAAUGCGCGGAGACUGGUAGUGGCCCCGAAUGUCUGACUGCGCUGUUAUUUAUUGGAUACAAAGCAAAAGGGGGAGGGUAAAGAGUGUGAGUCAUCUCCAAUGAUAGCUCGUGUCCUUGGUCUCUUGCCUCGGCGCCUGGGUGACCUGCCGCCCACAAACCAGGACCAGGGAGACCUGAAAACCUUCCCACAGACCAAAAUCUCCCCCUCUGAGAUGUGGAUGCCCAAGAAAAAGGAAAGAGAACUUAGGACUGGUCUCAGGCCUGCAGAUGUCUAAUAAUAACGCCAGCCGUCCCCUGGUGGAGAAGAGGCAGCUGUGGCUGCAGAGAGACCUCGUGUGACUCUAAUCUGACACCUUUGACUUGUGUGACCCUAGUCGGUGACUGUCUCCCUGUUCCUCAAUUUUUUUUUUCAAUAAGUAGGAUAAGUGCUAU